rnacentral:rRNA from 1 species
CCUACGGGGUGCAGCAGUGGGGAAUAUUGGACAAUGGGCGAAAGCCUGAUCCAGCCAUGCCGCGUGUGUGAAGAAGGCCUUCGGGUUGUAAAGCACUUUCAGUGGGGAAGAAAGCCUUGGGGCUAAUACCCUCGAGGAAGGACAUCACCCACAGAAGAAGCACCGGCUAACUCCGUGCCAGCAGCCGCGGUAAUACGGAGGGUGCGAGCGUUAAUCGGAAUUACUGGGCGUAAAGCGCGCGUAGGCGGUCUGAUAAGCCGGUUGUGAAAGCCACGGGCUCAACCUGGGAACGGCAUCCGGAACUGUCAGGCUAGAGUGCAGGAGAGGAAGGUAGAAUUCCCGGUGUAGCGGUGAAAUGCGUAGAGAUCGGGAGGAAUACCAGUGGCGAAGGCGGCCUUCUGGACUGACACUGACGCUGAGGUGCGAAAGCGUGGGUAGCAAACAGGAUUAGAUACCCUGGUAGUC